rnacentral:tRNA from 1 species
GGGUGGUUGGCAGAGCAGCGAUUGCACUAGUCUGUAAAACUAGCGUCCUCUGGACUUCGGGGGUGCAAGUCCCUCACCACCCA